AAGGAGCAGGAGGACGGCCAGUGAAAGGAGGAGCAGAAGCUGGAAGCGCACAGUGACUGGGUUCGAGACGUGGCCUGGGCCCCCUACAUCGGUCUGCCCACCAGCACCAUCACCAGCUGCUCCCAGGACAGCCAUGUGUUCAUUUGGACGUGUGAUGAUGCCUCAGGCAAUACGUGGUCCCCCAAAUUGCUGCACAAGUUCAAUGAUAUGGUGUGGCAUGUGAGCUGGUCCAUCACAGCCAACAUCCUGGCCAUCUCUGGUGGAGACAAUAAGGUGACCCUGUGGAAGAAGUCAGUUGACAGGCAAUGGGUUUGCAUCAGUGAUAUCAACAAAGGCCAGGGCUCCCUGUCGGCAGUCACAGAGGGCGAGCAGAAUGAGCAGUGACAAGACAGGUGGCACCUGGCUCCCCACCCCCCAGCUCUGGGACUGCCCCUUCCUGGGCCAACUGACCAAACAACUGGGAAGAGCCCCCAACUCCAACAGGAUCAUUUUCCCAGGAGGCGUUACAGAUGCAACCACAGAUUGAUCAUCUGCCUUAACACGAUCAGAGAUGCUUUGUAAUCUAGUGUCCAGAUGAAAGCACUCAUGUUAUAAAGAAGAAACUACAUAUGAUGUUUAAAUCUAUUUUAAACUAUUUUGGGCCAUUUUUAUGUACCUUUGUGUUCAGGCAUUAUUUGGGGGGUUUUGUUUCCAGUAACUAAAUAAAGUCAUAUUGCUUAUAAAAAAAAUUAAAAAAGAAAA